GUUCCCAUGGUGUAAAGGUUUAUCACAUUGGACUCUGAAUCCGAAGAUCGCCGUUCGAUUCGGCGUGGGAACU
rnacentral:tRNA from 1 species